rnacentral:rRNA from 1 species
CCUACGGGUGGCAGCAGUGAGGAAUAUUGGUCAAUGGACGGAAGUCUGAACCAGCCAUGCCGCGUGCAGGAUGACGGCUCUAUGAGUUGUAAACUGCUUUUGUACGAGAAUAAUAGUUCUUACGUGUAGGGAUUUGAAUGUAUCGUACGAAUAAGGAUCGGCUAACUCCGCGCCAGCAGCCGCGGUAAUACGGAGGAUGCGAGCGUUAUCCGGAUUUAUUGGGUUUAAAGGGUGCGCAGGCGGCCUGUUAAGUCAGCGGUAAAAUUGCGGGGCUCAACCUCGUCGAGCCGUUGAAACUGGGUGCCUUGAGUGGGCGAGAAGUACGCGGAAUGCGUGGUGUAGCGGUGAAAUGCAUAGAUAUCACGCAGAACUCCGAUUGCGAAGGCAGCGUACCGGCGCCCAACUGACGCUGAAGCACGAAGGCGUGGGUAUCGAACAGGAUUAGAUACCCGAGUAGUC